rnacentral:rRNA from 1 species
GAUGAACGCUAGCGACAGGCUUAACACAUGCAAGUCGAGGGGCAGCGGGGGAUGCGUUCGCGCAUUCUGCCGGCGACCGGCGCACGGGUGAGUAACACGUAUGCAACCUGCCCCGUCCAGGGGGAUAAUCGGCGGAAACGCCGUCUAAUACCGCGUAUAUCGAUUCCGGGCAUCCGGGAUUGAAGAAAGGGCCUUAGGGUCCGGGACGGGAUGGGCAUGCGGCGCAUUAGGAAGUUGGCGGUGUAACGGACCACCAAUCCGUCGAUGCGUAGGGGUUCUGAGAGGAAGGUCCCCCACAUUGGAACUGAGACACGGUCCAA